GACGAACGCUGGCGGCGUGCCUAAUACAUGCAAGUAGAACGCUGAAGGAGGAGCUUGCUUCUCUGGAUGAGUUGCGAACGGGUGAGUAACGCGUAGGUAACCUGCCUGGUAGCGGGGGAUAACUAUUGGAAACGAUAGCUAAUACCGCAUAAUAGCAGUUGUUGCAUGACAACUGUUUGAAAGGUGCAAUUGCACCACUACCAGAUGGACCUGCGUUGUAUUAGCUAGUUGGUGGGGUAACGGCUCACCAAGGCGACGAUACAUAGCCGACCUGAGAGGGUGAUCGGCCACACUGGGACUGAGACACGGCCCAGACUCCUACGGGAGGCAGCAGUAGGGAAUCUUCGGCAAUGGACGGAAGUCUGACCGAGCAACGCCGCGUGAGUGAAGAAGGUGUUCGGAUCGUAAAGCUCUGUUGUAAGAGAAGAACGGGUGUGAGAGUGGAAAGUGCACACUGGGACGGUAUCUUACCAGAAAGGGACGGCUAACUACGU
rnacentral:rRNA from 1 species